AUAAAAGGCUUCUUAAAAAAAAGUACAUAAUUGAAGAAAUGAGUCUGCCUUUCAUUUGCAUCAGCUGACUGUUUUAAAUGUGGAAAUGGUUCCAGUUUGUGGUGGGCCUGGAGUGGAGGUUUCAGUUUGAAAUCGCUGUUCUCUAAUGGUGGUUUGGCUGAACCUGAAGCAUGUCUGUGGUGUGUGAUAGGUGUUGGUAGUGGGGGUUUUAGUGGUGGGA